GAUGAACGCUAGCGGCAGGCCUAAUACAUGCAAGACGAACGGUAAGUUGAGUAGCAAUACUUAGCCAAGAGUGUCGUACGGGUGCGUAACACGUAUGCAACCUACCCUAUACAGGAGGAUAGCCUAGGGAAACCUGGAUUAACCCUUCAUAGUAUUAUUGGAUGGCAUCAUUUGAUAAUUAAAACUGAGGUGGUAUAGGAUGGGCAUGCGUCUGAUUAGUUAGUUGGCGGGGUAAUGGCCCACAAGACGAUGAUCAGUAGGGGUUCUGAGAGGAAGAUCCCCCACACUGGCACUGAGAUACGGGGCCAGGACUCCUACGGGAGGCAGCAGUAGGAUAUGGUCAAUGGAUGCAAGUCUGAACCAGCCAUGCCGCGUGAC
rnacentral:rRNA from 1 species